rnacentral:rRNA from 1 species
UCAAAACUUUCAACAACGGAUCUCUUGGUUCUGGCAUCGAUGAAGAACGCAGCGAAAUGCGAUAAGUAAUGUGAAUUGCAGAAUUCAGUGAAUCAUCGAAUCUUUGAACGCACAUUGCGCCCUCUGGUAUUCCAGAGGGCAUGCCUGUUCGAGCGUCAAUU